CCUGGACCGACGCUCAGCGGUGCCAGGGAUCCCCCGCUCCAUUAUUGCCUCGAUCGGGAAAACGCCGGGGACCCCCCGCUCAGACGCAGAGGUGCGGGUGAUUAUACCUCGAAUCUCCUGGGACCCAGAGGAGUGGGAUGGCAAUAUUUGGAGUACUUCCUCUGACUUGGAGGUGGAAUUUGCAUUAGAAGGAGAACUGACUACUCCCCAGGUCUGACCUCUUGUGCAAUUGAAGGGGGAGAGACAAAUAGAUAGGGAUUCUGUAGAGCAGUGAAGGAUUUAUACGCCAAAAGAGUUAUGUGAGUUUUUAAAUACUUUCCAGGAAGUCUUUGUUAGCCUGGUUAGUGAGAGCAUGGGAUGCAGGUGCUGGAUCGCUUGCUCUUGCAAGAGAGGAGCUGAAUUUAAUGAGCCCCUCAUCAACUGAUGCCCAACUACAGUAUUAUCUUACCCAAUUAACUUCUGCAUGGGAUGGGGCAGGAAAUGUUCUUGUAGCUCCAACAUUAUAUCGAUGGUUGUGCGCCACCGUGGCAGGUGCUUACCUGUCCACAGGUGAGUUAGCUGCUACAGUGGGGGCUUUGGUAAAUAAUAUAAGGGAUUUGGCGCUUGUUGGUGAACUGGAUACUAAGCCAGUGAGAGCAGUUUGGAAUUCCAAGGUGAGAAAAUUGGCAGGGACUACUAAACUGAGUGGAAAGCUAAUGAGGUGACAGAUGUGGACUGAUUUGCUGCAGGCAGGGGUAUUACAUGAUGAGAUAAAUGGUCUUUCUACUGCUGACUUAUUUAAGCAGCGGUUACCUGCUAAUCAGCAAUAUCAGACAGAGCCUACUGCUCCAGCCACAGUGUGGAAAUUGCCACCCAAAAGACAAUGAGGGGGAGGUGGGUCCCCUGCAAUACGAGCAUCCGUUGCGGCUUAGCAUCCAGGGGACCUGACACCCUUAUGUACCCCUGCAAAUUCGCUGGCGCUCUGGAGGAGAAAUUGCUGUGCUUGCUUUAGUAGAUACUGGAGCAGAAGUUACCGUACUACAUAGUGUGGUAGCUCUGGGGAGGCCACUAUCCGUAUAUGUGGGUUGGAAGGAUCGGCCACCCCAGCAGUACAGGCAGUAGUUACAUUAAGAAUCGGCCAAAAUAAUAAUAAUAAUAAUAAUAAUAAUAAUAAUAAUUACCCCAGUUUUAUUAGCACUGAUUCGUGAGUACCUCUUGGGGAUUGACGUGUUACUGGGCAGAGAUAUUCAGACCCUACAGGAGUGGGGGUGGGCUGUAAACCCUGAGAAGGUACAGGGGCUGGACACCAGUGUGCAAUUCUUAGGAAUAGUCUGGAGGGGGCAGACAAAAGCUAUCCCUGAGAAAGUGUGCAAUACUAUUCAACAAUACCCUGUUGCCACUACUGUAAAACAACUACAAGCUUCUGGGGCCUUUUGGGGUUCUGGCGGACCUUUAUACCCCACUUCGCAUAUUUAAUGCAGCCACUACAGCGUUUGACCAAAAAAAAGGGUAGCCAGUGGCAAUGGACUAAAGAGCAGCAGCAAGCCUUUGACCUGUGCAAGGAGGUGGUGGUCCAACAUUCCAAGCUAUUCACUCCGCAUGAGGGACACCCUUUCGCGCUGGAGGUAACAGUUAUGGGGGAUACGAUGUCCUGGGGGUUGUGGCAGCAAUGUGCCCAUGCAAGGCAGGAACCUCUAGGUUUCUGGUCCCGUUCCCUGCAAGGGGCCACAGCAAACUACACACCUCUGGAGAAACAGCUUUUGGCUGUGGUGUGGGCUUUGCAGGAUACCGAAGGAGUUACAGGACAUGACCUGGUGACUGUACACACACCCCUCCCCAUUCAGGCAUGGGUGAUGGAUGAUACAGUCAGGGCCCAUGUAGGGGUGGCCCAAGCUGCAACGCAUUGGAAAUGGGAACACUGCCUACAAGCCCGGUUUAAGGUGUGGAGAAAGAACAUGAGUACCCCACAUGCACCCUUGUUAGGGGAAGUAUGUUUUGAGCAAAUGCCUCUAUUGUCUGAGCCAGAGGGGCUGCCCCCUCCUUGCUCCCCCAAUAGAGCCAUUGCCUUUCCAAGAGGCCCCUCUUUUGGGAUGUUAUCUCCUGAGCGAGUACAAGCCAAACCAACCUGAGCAAUCCCUGCUCGGAUAUCUGUAAUGGAAGAGGGGGAUUGCCCCCCCGCAUACUCGCCUCUGGCGAGGUAGAAUUCUAUACACCUGAGCAACUCAUGAUUACUGAACGAAGAGUUAUAAGCUUACAUUUAAGACUUGGCUGCCCUUCACAGUGUGUAUGGCUGUUUACACCUUUGAUACCUGUUCAAAUAGCCCCACUCUUAUUGACCUCUUCUCAAGAUUUAUCUUUCCAGGUAUCCGUAUCCACGCCAGUGAAUGUCUCACAGGGAGCACCAAUACUGCGAGGAAUCCUGACCCACAGUGCCAGAGUGCCCCAAAUUCAGCAAACACCCUCAAUGCACUCUUUAGUCAGUGUGCGGAUACUAACUCCUCAAAAGGAAAAAUGGCCUGGCACUGUUUUAGCAGAUGGUCCAGGAGCCACUGCUCUAGUUCCUCCUGAUGGCGAUACCAUGCCUUUCUAUCUUCCCAUCAACAGGUUAUCACACCGGCAUCUGGAAGUUGCCGUAGGAAUGUUGCCUCUUGUGACCACGACAGAUGCCCUUCAUCUACAAGACUAUCCAGCCUCCCAUGUAAAUACAUGGAUUUGGCUGGCACAAAGGUCAGCUAACCUCUCUGCUUUCUGUAUUGCAGGAGGACGAUCAGUGGAUGAUGUCUUAACUAUGUGUUACAUAGGUGUACCAGCUCCACUCGCAGUAUUGCAGAGUUAUACUUAAAAAAAAAAAAAAUGAUAUUUCUGUUACUCCCAUGAAUUUAUGCGAUUUGGGUAUUGUUUCCCAAAAGCUGACACCUUGGGCUUACUCUUUCCAUAUAGCUAACAUAUCUAAAGCAGAUAUUUGCUUUCGCUUUGUAGAUGCUGCCUCUGUUCUGCGGAAUGUAACUGAUAUGCAGUCAAUUUGUAAUGACACUAUGAAUAUUACCUAUGCAUCUGCUCACCUUAUACUACCAUUAGGAUGGUUCCUUCUGUCUGGCACUACAGCAUAUACAUAUGUGCCGGCCAAUGCCACAGGUGGCCCAUGCACUGUAGGUCGUGUUACUUUAAGCAUCCCUCCCUUUAUGAUGGAGCGGCGAAGGACCCUGUGGCAUAUCCUAAGAUGCCACUUGUAACUGCCAUAAAAGUUUAUUUUCUCAUGCAGAAGCUCUAGGCCUAUUGUUGAGCCUAGCUGGGAUCCCGGGGGUGGUGGCACAUAAUUGCAAACAGUUAGAGCAUGUUGCCUGUGCUUUGGCUCAAGGCUUAAAUUGGACAUCUAGAGCCAUUGCCUCUUUAAAUAGGGAGUUGGGAGCAGUGUAGCAAGGAACACUGCAAAACCACCUAGGGAUCGACUGCCUCCUACUGCGAGAUAACCACAGACACCAUGACUUUGCCGGGAUGUGCUGUCUCAACAUCACCGAUGGAUCGGCAUCUAUUGAGAAUAUCAGCCACCUCAUACAAGGAGGACUCUUGUUUAUCUCUUGCUUUGUAUUAUGUUAUGUUUUGAUUUCAUUACUUUGUAAACUCCCUUGCCCUCAUACCCCAUGCCCUUCUGAGGAUUGGGACGGCCUGUAACUAGCUUUCCAUCGCGGGGGUGGAGUGUAUGGGAAAGUGCGGAAGAAUGUCGAGGAGAUAGGCGAUGGAAGCUAGCCAGACCCUUCCGUGGGAAAAGGAGCAUCAACAGGGCAUGUUGACCCAUAGUCACGUGGUUCAGCCUGUGCCAGGGUGGCGCUGCACCUGGGCUUUGAAUCGAGAAUAACAAUGAUCUCAACAUGCUUACUGCGCAUGUGUAUGGUACAUAAAAACUUCAUCUAGUGCCCCCUCCAUGGUGUUCCUCACCCUGGACCCAUGCUCAGCGGUGCCAGGGAUCCCCCGCUCCAUUAUUGCCUCGACCGGGAAAAUGCCGGGGACCCCCCGCUCAGAUGCAGAGGUAAUAAAUGCUCCAUAUCGAC